CUCGAUGAUUCUGUCAUCAUGUUGCCUUUGAAAGAUACUUUACUUUGAACAUUGCUAUUCGAUGAUCCUGUCAUCAUGUUGCCUUUGAAAGAUACGUUACUUUGAACAUUGCUACUCGAUGAUUAUGUCAUCAUGUUGCCCUUUGAAAGAUAUGUUACUUUGAACAUUGCUACGCGAUGAUCCUGUCAUCGUGUUGCCUUUGAAAGAUACGUUACUUUGAACAUUGCUAUUCGAAGAUCCUGUCAUCAUGUUGCCUUUGAAAGAUACUUCACUUUGAACAUUGCUAUUCGAUGAUUCUCUCAUCAUGUUGCCUUUGAAUGAUACUUUACUUUGAACAUUGCUAUUCGAUGAUCCUGUCAUCACGUUGGCUUUGAAAGAUACGUUACUUUGAACAUUGUUACUCGGUGAUCCUGUCAUAAUGUUGCCUUUGAAAGAUACUUUACUUUGAACAUUGCUAUUUGAUGAUCCUGUCAUCAUGUUGCCUUUGAAAGAUACGUUACUUUGAACAUUGCUACUCGAUGAUUCUGUCAUCGUGUUGCCUUUGAAAGAUAUGUUACUUUGAACAUUGCUACUCGAUGAUUAUGUCAUAAUGUUGCCUUUGAAAGAUACGUUACUUUGAACAUUGCUAUUCGAUGAUCCUGUCAUCAUGUUGCCUUUGAAAGAUACGUUACUUUGAACAUUGCUACUCGAUGAUUCUCUCAUCAUGUUGCCUUUGAAAGAUACGUUACUUUGAACAUUGCUACUCGAUGAUCCUGUCAUAAUGUUGCCUUUGAAAGAUACUUCACUUUGAACAUUGCUAUUCGAUGAUCCUGUCAUCAUGAUGCCUUUGAAAGAUACGUUACUUUGAACAUUGCUACUCGAUGAUCCUGUCAUCAUGUUGCCUUUGAAAGAUACGUUACUUUGAACAUUGCUACUCGAUGAUCCUGUCAUAAUGUUGCGUUUGAAAGAUACUUUACUUUGAACAUUGCUAUUCGAUGAUCCUGUCAUCAUGUUGCCUUUGAAAGAUACGUUACUUUGAACAUUGCUACUCGAUGAUCCUGUCAUCAUGUCUUGUCGUGCUGCCUUUGAAAGAUACUUUACUCGGAACAUUGUUAUUUGAUAUUCUCGGUAUCUCUGCUGCUGUUUGAAUAUA
rnacentral:lncRNA from 1 species